rnacentral:rRNA from 1 species
GCCGCUCAGAAACUCAAAGGAAUUGACGGGGCCCGCACAAGCGGUGGAGUAUGUGGUUAAUUCGAUGCAACGCGAAGAACCUUACCUGGUCUUGACAUCCCGGAGACCCUUAGGAAACUAGGGGGUGCUUCCAUCUGGAAGAAUCUGGAGACAGGUGCUGCAUGGCUGUCGUCAGCUCGUGUCGUGAGAUGUUGGGUUAAGUCCCGCAACGAGCGCAACCCUUGCCUUUAGUUGCCAGCAGUUCGGCUGGGCACUCUAAAGGGACUGCCGGUGUUAAACCGGAGGAAGGUGGGGAUGACGUCAAGUCCUCAUGGCCUUUAUGACCAGGGCUACACACGUACUACAAUGGCCGAUACAAAGGGCAGCGACACUGCGAGGUGAAGCCAAUCCCGUAAAAUCGGUCUCAGUCCGGAUUGGAGUCUGCAACUCGACUCCAUGAAGUUGGAAUCGCUAGUAAUCGUGGAUCAGCAUGCCACGGUGAAUACGUUCCCGGGCCUU